AUCGAACAAAAUGAAGCAAACGACUACCUCCAGUUUCGUUUGGCACGGAUCAUGGAGGAUUUAGUUCAGCUCCAAGCUGAGAUGGAUGUGGAGGUUGACUCGGCUGCAUUGGACAGUCUGGAGGAAGUUCCAUCUGCUGUUACUGAAUCACCACAAGGUGGCAGAGGAAGGAAAUGGACUGGAUUUUUGGCAGGCUACACAUACUGAAGACUUUAUUCCAUGUGGGAAUGCCAAAGAUUGAACAAUAUACCAUCCAGUCUGAUGUACAAAGAAGGCUGUUGCCACAGUUUCCACAACAGUGCCUGAUAUGGAGCCUGAGUGAAAUUAGGGUGUAAUCAAGACCUGUUUCUAUGUUUAUGUCACCAUAGAAUAAGCGUGGA